GGGCCUGCACAAGCGGUGGAGUAUGUGGCUUAAUUCGAUGCAACGCGAAGAACCUUACCUGGCCUUGACAUGCAUCUCUAAGUGUGUGAAAGCACAUGACCCCUCGGGGAAUUUGCACAGGUGCUGCAUGGCUGUCGUCAGCUCGUGUCGUGAGAUGUUGGUUAAGUCCCGCAACGAGCGCAACCCUUAUGUUUUGUUGCCACUUUCGCUUCGGCGGAAAGCACUCUAAACAGACUGCCUCGUCUCAACGAGGAGGAAGGUGGGGAUGACGUCAAGUCAGUAUGGCCCUUACGGCCAGGGCUGCACACGUACUACAAUGCCCAGUACAAUGGGAAGCAAUACCGCGAGGUGGGAGCAAA
rnacentral:rRNA from 1 species